AUGUACCCCUCAUACUCCGGUUCCUCCGCGCCGGCCGCACCCACCUGACAACAACUGCUCGCUACGUUUGUUAGCU
rnacentral:sRNA from 1 species